rnacentral:rRNA from 1 species
GACGGAGGGGGCUAGCGUUGUUCGGAAUGACUGGGCGUAAAGGGCGCGUAGGCGGUUUUUUAAGUUAGGCGUGAAAGCCCUGGGUUUAACCCAGGAGGUGCGUUUAAGACUGGAAGACUUGAGUGUGAGAGAGGAAAAUGGAAUUCCUAGUGUAGAGGUGAAAUUCGUAGAUAUUAGGAAGAACACCCGUGGCGAAGGCGGUUUUCUGGCUCACAACUGACGCUGAGGCGCGAAAGCGUGGGGAGCAAACAGG